CUGAUACAGCAGGUCCCCACCAGGCCUGUUACCUAACUGCUUUUACCCUCCAGGUCCGGAAAUCUCCAGUCUGAGUUGGAACCAGCCCCGGCCCAGGAUGAGAGCCUCGAGUUGGAACCAGCCCCACCCCAGGAUGAGAGCCUCCUGCAGACGGAGCUGCUGCAGGAGGAACACUAAAUCUCACAGAUCUUUAGAGAACCGAGGAGACUAAUGAAGCCAUAGACACAUUGAUUCCAUGGCAAUCUACAUCCUCAGAUCAAGUCUUCCUCAGAAGGUACCCUCUUAUAGCUGUAAACUCACCAGUGAGCCAAAUACCAGCUGACCUCCAGGUGAUCCAGGCCCAAAGACACCCAUUGGCUCAGUACUCUCAAGGAAAAGAAAGCAUCAAAAAGGAGACUGACAUGCAGAAGACCUGAGACAAGAAUUAUUGAGAACCCUGACAUUCAACAUACUAAUAGGGGUACAACAACAAGGAGGGUAGACAUGGCUAUAGUAGCUUUCAAAAGGUCUUUUCUAUCUGGUGACUGCCUUCCUUCCAUGAUUCCAAGGCUAUCUAAAGUCUGUAGGUCUGUACUGCUAAAUCUGUAGCAAGAGAAAUCUGUAGCUUAGUUUAUUUAGUUUGUUUUUUGGUUGGGUUUUGUUUGCAUUAGUUUUUAAAGUUUUCUUUUUUAUGGUUCUUUUUUAUGGUUUGAAUUUUUCUGUUUAUUUGUUCUUCAUUUAGUUGUUGUUGUUUUUGUAUUUUUCUAAGUUGACUGACUGUUUAUAUUUACUGUUCCCUUUACUUCUGUAAUUAGUAAACUGACUGUAUUUUCAUGAAUAUAAAUUGAUUUCCAACUUUUCACUCUUAGAACAAAAUGUUUGUUCAAAUGUUGUCUCUCACUGUCUGGUAGCCCCAGAAUCUCCUGUAAUUCCAGAUCUCUUGUGUGUCCAGCUUGGGUUACAGCGAGUUCUCAAGCAGCCAGGGCUACACAAGUCUUUGGAAAUGGAAGGUGUUGCCAGCUCUCUGUAUUUUCAUUGCAUGAUGGAAAAUGUAUCCAGCUGUGUCCUUGUAGUCACUAUUUAGCUAUGCCUACAAUAUAGCACUCUGUAUACACAUUUCUUGAAAUGAUUAUGUGUACCAAAUGAAUGAGAAACACGCCAAUACUACUCUAAAGCCUCUCAGGAAAUGAGAACAUUUACUAAGGGACUAUGAAGGAAAUCCAUGGCCUGAUUGUCACCUGAGGCCAUGAUGAUGUCCCUGUCUGGGCUUCUGCCAUAGUCCAUGUCUUGCCCAUGGCCCAGACACAGAUGUGGGUGUCCAUGUGAAUAGUCAUGUCUCCUUUUACCAGUGCGGUCCUUGCAGCCCACUACUAAAUCUGUAGCAAGAGAAAUCUGUAGCUUAGUUUAUUUAGUUUGUUUUUUGGUUGCGUUUUGUUUGCUUUAGUUUUUAAAGUUUUCUUAUUUAUGGCUCUUUUUUAUGGUUCUUUUUAUGGUUCUUUCUUAUGGUUUGAAUUUUUCUGUUUAUUUUUUCUUCAUUUAGUUGUUGUUGUUGUUUUUGUAUUUUUCUAAGUUGACUCACAGUUUAUAUUUUCUGUUCCCUUUACUUCUGUAUUUAGUAAACUGACUGUAUUUUCAUGAAUAUAAAUUGAUUUCCAACUCUUCACUCUUGGAACCAAUUGUUUGGUUAAAUGUUGUCUCUCACUGUCUGGUAGCCCCAGAAUCUCCUGUAAUUCCAGAUCUCUUGUGUGCCCAGCUUGGGUUACAGCGAGUUCUCAAGCAGCCAGGGCUACACAAGUCUUUGGAAGUGGAUGGUGUUGCCAGCUCUCUGUAUUUUCAUUGCAUGAUGGAAAAAGUAUCCAGCUGUGUCCUUGUAGUCACUAUUUAGCUAUGCCUACAAUAUAGCACUCUGUAUACACAUUUCUUGAAAUGAUUAUGUGUACCAAAUUAAUGAGAAACACGCAAAUACUGCUCUAAAGCCUCUCAGGAAAUGAGAACAUUUACUAAGGGACUAUGAAGGAAAUCCAUGGCCUGAUUGUUACAUGAGGCCAUGAUGAUGUCCCUGUCCGGGCUUCUGCCAUAGUCCAUGUCUUGCCCAUGGCCCAGACACAGAUGUGGGUGUCCAUAGGAAUAGUCAUGUCUCCUUUUACCAGUGAGGGCCUUGCAUCCCACUGCUAAAUCUGUAGCAAGAGAAAUCUGUAGCUUAGUUUAUUUAGUUUGUUUUUUGGUUGGGUUUUGUUUGCUUUAGUUUUUAAGGUUUCUUUUUUAUGGUUCCUUUUUAUGGUUUUUUUAUGGUUUGAAUUUUUCUGUGUAUUUGUUCUUCAUUUAGUUGUUGUUGUUGUUUUUGUAUUUUUCUAAGUUGACUGAC
ensembl:lncRNA